GGCGGCGCCAUUGCUCGAGCCAGAGCGAGAGGGCGGGGCGUCGCGGCGCGGUGGUUUCGGGUCCGCGCGGCAGGUGAUGCUGCGGGCUGCUUCGUGUCCGCUGCCGAUGGGGCAUCGUGGCCUCGCGUCCUGCGUGGGACGCUGGCGAGGAGACGGAGCGGCCUCUCACGGAAGCCAGUUGUCAUCCUCUGAACUGCUCUAAUGAAAAGCAAGGACCAAAGGAUGGCUAAAGGCCAACAGCCAGGGAGGAAGUCAAUCCUGUCAUUGGGAAUGGGUCUGGACACACCCUCUUCUUUCCAGUGGAGCCGGAGGUGGCACCAGCUUGAGCUAAGCCUGUGAAGGUGGACUUGCAAGGACUCAGCCAAGUUGUGUCUAGAUUACCAGCCAAGAGACCCUGUACGAUGAUAAAUUGGGUGUUUGAAGUUGCUCAGUUUUGAAGUAAUUUAUUACUAAUUCAUAGAUAACCAAUAAAGAGUCUUUUUUUAAAGUCCCAAAAGACCUUACUUCCCGUUUUCUGAUUAUAGCUCCAACUAGCAUUUCCAAGUAAAACAGGAGUUGUGAGAACCUGGCUACACUUUAGACCACCUGAGAAGUACCUUCAUUCCACAAACUCAAUUUGAAUUGGUCUAGGGUGGGACUCCUGUCUCAGUCAGUUUCAAAGGCUCCCAUGGAUUUCUAAUGGAUAGAUAAAGAAUCACAGAUGGAUCACACGUAUUUAUUUAUUUAUUUGUCACUUUCUGAAUGCUGAGUCUGAAAGUGAUAAUACAGACUACAAUGUGAUGCUCACCUGCCUUCUAGGGAGAGACUACCAAGCAAAACAAAUUUUAAUUGCAGUAGUGAUAAACAUUCCAGUAGAGUUGCAAAAUAAUGGAAAGAAGAUGGAGUGCCCUAAGUCAGCUCGUUAAAUUCGGAACAGGUGUCAUUGAGAAAAAGUGGGGACCAGCCUCAAAGUAAAUAUAAAACCAGUGAGUGUGGAUAUGACAAAAUGAACACAGCAAAGGAGAAAGGAGAGCUAAGGUGUCCAGUUGUCCAAUGAGCAGGGAGAUGAUGGCAUGUGACUAUUUUAAUCAGAAGGGAGUAGGAGCCUGCUGACAGAACACUGUGUUUUGGUGAUUUGUAUUAAUUUGUAGUGAGCUUUUAAUAAGUCUGGGGAGAUCUUUUUCUUCUUUCUUUCUUUCUUUUUUUUUUUUUUUCUUUUUCUUUUUUGAGACGAAGGUUAGGUGGCCCAGGCUGACCUUGAAUUUCUGGUCUUCUUGGUUUGCCUCCUGAGAGCUGGGGUUACAGCAGGGCACCAUCAUGCUUUGCUCAGGAGACCUUGAGAAUUAGCUGUGUUGACUUUGAGAACACACUUUAUUUCAUGAUGACCACAGACUCUAUUCUCAUCCACUGGCUGUGGUUUAUUCAAUUCUUUCUUUUUAGGCACCUUUGACCCAAGCUAAAGUGUUUCUUUCUCCAGCAAUCAGUAGAAUAUGAGGCGACAUCAACAUCAGAUUCUUUUACAUGUAUUUUAUUUUAUUUUUAAGGAUUUUAUGCAUGAGUUCUGUAUUUAUGCCCUUCUAUUCUUCCCCUCCCCCCAAUUUUCCUAUGUUUCCUUAACUCCUUCUAAAAUUUAUAAUCUCUUCUUAAUUUUUAUCAUUACAUGUGAAUGCAUAUAUAUGUACGCAUGUAUAUUAUAUAAAUAAAACAAAAACAUACACACCCA